rnacentral:rRNA from 1 species
UACAGAGGGUGCAAGCGUUAAUCGGAAUUACUGGGCGUAAAGCGUGCGUAGACGGUUAUGUAAGUCGGGUGUGAAAGCCCCGGGCUCAACCUGGGAAUGCCAUUCGAGACUGCAUAGCUAGGGUGCGGAAGAGGGAAGCGGAAUUUCCGGUGUAGCGGUGAAAUGCGUAGAUAUCGGAAGGAACAUCAGUGGCGAAGGCAGUGCCCUGGCCGACGGCUGACGCUCAGGCGCGAAAGCGUGGGGAGCAAACAGG